rnacentral:rRNA from 1 species
AGCAGCCGCGGUAAUUCCAGCUCCAAUAGCGUAUAUUAAAGUUGCUGCAGUUAAAAAGCUCGUAGUUGGAUUUCUGGCUUCAAGCAUUUGGCCGGCCACGGUUUCGUGUGUUAGUGCCUUGUGCUGUGGCCAUCCUUCCAAUCGCUAUUGGCUUAUCUUCAUUGAUAGGUCAGUGGUAUUGGAUCUUUUACUUUGAAAAAAU